rnacentral:rRNA from 1 species
UACGUAGGGGGCCAGCGUUGUUCGGAAUUACUGGGUGUAAAGGGUUCGUAGGCGGUGCGGCAAGUCGGGCGUGAAAUCUCUGGGCUCAACCCAGAGGCUGCUUCCGAAACUGCUGUGCUUGAGUGUGGGAGAGGCGCGUGGAAUUGCAGGUGUAGCGGUGAAAUGCGUAGAUAUCUGCAGGAACACCCGUGGCGAAAGCGGCGCGCUGGACCACUACUGACGCUGAAGAACGAAAGCUAGGGGAGCAAACAGG